GACGAACGCUGGCGGCGUGCUUAACACAUGCAAGUCGAACGGAAAGGCCCUGCUUUUGUGGGGUGCUCGAGUGGCGAACGGGUGAGUAACACGUGAGUAACCUGCCUUUGACUUUGGGAUAACUUCAGGAAACUGGGGCUAAUACCGGAUAGGAGCUCCUGCUGCAUGGUGGGGGUUGGAAAGUUUCGGCGGUUGGGGAUGGACUCGCGGCUUAUCAGCUUGUUGGUGGGGUAGUGGCUUACCAAGGCUUUGACGGGUAGCCGGCCUGAGAGGGUGACCGGCCACAUGGGGACUGAGAUACGGCCCAGACUCCUACGGGAGGCAGCAGUGGGGAAUAUUGCACAAUGGGCGGAAGCCUGAUGCAGCAACGCCGCGUGCGGGAUGACGGCCUUCGGGUUGUAAACCGCUUUCGCCUGUGACGAAGCGUGAGUGACGGUAAUGGGUAAAGAAGCACCGGCUAACUACGUG
rnacentral:rRNA from 1 species